AGGAAUCGAUUCAAGUUCAUAUCUCGGUGAACCAGAACUGGCGAUUUGGAACCAGCCCGUCACGAGGUCUAUUCCCAGCAAGUAACUGACAGUCUGACACCCCAUUUUGUUUUAGUCGUUAGUUGUCAAAUUGACAUCUGUGGGAUCUCUUUGCCUUUUUUUUUUAAAAUUCAUUUCUCUUCUUUUCGGGAGUGGCAGGCCAGUAAUUGUUAGCUGUUUGUUGAUAGUGUACUGUCAGUAAGAUAUACAUGAAUUUGCUUUUUCCUUGUUAUAACUUCUUUCAAUUUCAUGUGCAACGUCUUCAGGAUGAAUUUGCAGAACCGGUAGAAUUUUAAAUUGCUGGAGAAGGUUGAAAUCUCAAAAGAAAUUCAAUGAAAGACAAGGUGGUCAGACAGAUAGAUGUAAGCAGGUACACUCAGGAGAAGAGAAUUAGCUCCUAGGAGGCCAUUUCCUCUGAGAUCAUUAGUUCCAACAGAUGAAUGUUUUUGUCAACAAUGGGCUGGAACUAGUUUACAUAAAUAUUUGGCAUUUUGGCAACAAUUACUAGUUAAGGAGUUUGCAAAGAAAUAUGGAAGACAGAUAAUGUAUUACCAAUUACCGUUAAGCCUGUGUGUUCUUUUCACUAACACCGAGUAAUAUAGCAAGGUCCUCCACUAGUCAGCAAGUCAGCAACUUGUAUGGCUCAUUUUGCAAAACUGACCUGGAUAUUCAAAUUACUCUGAAACUGGCUGCUGACCUUUUGAUCCACUUGUUUCUCAUUUUACUAUCUGUUCUGUAUUACUGCAAUAAUCUAUGCAGCUGCUGCUCUAGUUCUUCACAUAGUUGAGGUUUAAACUCCAGAAGGCAUGUAACCAUGUUUGUGAGACUAUUGUUAAACUGUGGUGACUGAGACACAAAAAGAUGACAAUAAGGUUUCCAUAAAGCAAAAAGUUCUAUACAACAGUGAGGGGCAUGUCCAAGUAUAUGGCUUGACAGCAUAAUAAUUGGUAUGUUCCUGCAGGUCCUACCACUUUGUAGGGUACAGCUUCAGCUUUUUUUUGCGUUUUUCGGUGGUGGGUGGUUAGAGAUUGUCUUAUUGGGAAUUAUGCUAUCCUAUUUUUAAAGUACAACUGUAUGUAACAACAAUGAUUAGUAUGUAGACUGUAGUGUACUAGGAAUAGG